rnacentral:lncRNA from 1 species
UUUGUAAUUAACUCCCAUUCCCAGCUCAGGAGGCCAUUGAUUCUGGCUUUUUAUUUAGCAUGAUGCUUGAGACUUAUCCAUAUUAUCAGUAGUUCAUUAUUUUAUUCCCAAGAAGUAUUGCAUUGCCAUGGAUGUACAAAUUUAUUCAUUCACCAGGUGGAAGGCUACUUCACUGAAUUCAGUUUUUGGUGAUUAUGAAUAAAGUUGCUAUAUUCACAUACAGGUUUGUGUGAAUAUGUUCCUUCACUUGGGUAAAUACCUACGAAUGGGAUUGCUUUGUCACAGAUUAUUAGAAAAUGGAUGGAUUGUUUUUUAAACUGCCUGUGCACCUUUGCAGUUCCUCCAGCAAUGUAUGAGAGUUCAAGUUGCUCUGCAUCGUAAGCAGAAUUUGGUAUAUUCAGUUUCAAUAGGUGUAUGCCAUUUUGGUUUUAAUUUACAUUUUCUUAAUGAUUUAUGAUAGUAUUUUCCUGUGUUCUUAUGGCAUCAACUUCUUUUGCAAAGUGUCUUCAAAUAUUUUACCCAUUUAAAAAUCGUUUUAACAGAUCUCAUCUUAUUACCUUGCUGGACAUUUCAUCUCAGUAGUUUCAUUACUCCAAGUUAGGUCUUUCUGUGUGCCUUUUUUUUCUGGCUAAAAUUAUGUUACUUCCUUUGGUCAUCCUGAGCAAGUGUGUGGCCUCUAUUCAGAUAUAUGCCUCUGUUAAAGGCAUUCCACACAGAUCCAGCAUAAUGAUUGAGUUUUGCUUCUCACCUUUGUUCUCUCCACCCAGUAAGGUGUGGAGCUGUUAAUAAAGUUCAUUAUUUUAUUGGCCAAGAUUAUUGAUGCUCAUAGGUUGAAGAACCCAUGACAUUCACAUGAGUUUGUAUGUUCCUGUUUAUAAACUCUACUUGUUCAAAGUGUCAUUAAUAUUCUUGAGAAACUGGCAGUUUUAUUAUGAAGGAUAUCUGCAAUUCAUAGCAAUUACUCCUUUUUAACCUAGAGACACUGAUUUAACUUAAUAAAACCUGUUUAUAGGAUGAAACUUGUAGCUCAGUCUUACCAAGGAUUUAAGGAUUCAUAUAUGAGUGUUUUUCUUUCUCCUUUACACCUAGUUAAUUAACCUUGUAUCUUAUGUCUCACUUGCUGACUCUUCAGACCUUUUUUUUUUGGAACAAAAAGCAGCUGCGUGUAAAUUACGACAGCAACUGAAUUUUCCAUGAAUCAUAUUCACUUUUCUGAAGGCAACUCUGCAUGCAGUUACAGAAAUGUCCUACUGGGGCUCCUCCUUUGCCUACUUCAAUUUUAAGAAUUCUGAGGUCAGGAGAGGUAAUAGGGCACACACCUAAUUUGUUAAUUAAGCAAGGAUUCUAAUGAUAUAUCACAUACUCAAAUCCUGGAUUUUCCCUAAAAUAUGAUUAUUAUAUUGGGAAUUUGAAAACAUGUUGAGCAGUGGUAAAGUACAUGACACACUAGAAGCCAAAAAUCAGAACCCUACAUUUAAAGUUCAUAAUAAAAGAUCCACCCGAGUAUAACCAAUAAUAUUUGGUUUAGAUAUUUUAUAGCUUUUCUACCUUUUUAGGAAAUUUAGAGUGUUUUAUUAAGUUGACCAGAAGUGUGGUAUUAUCAAUAUUAUUUUGAAACUAUUCAAAAAUUCCUACUGGUUAAAAAGCUUUUUUUUUUUUUUAAAUUGUGCUGAGGCUAUGCCAUUUUCUCCCUCUCUGAAGAAAGUAUGUACCUUUUAGAUACAGAUUAACAGUAACAAAUGGCCACUGAGCACUGCUUUUUUUCCUUUAUGGAAACUUCUCAUGUUCAUGCAGACUAGCUACAACAGCUUCUUAAAAAAAGAUACUUUUUGGCCACCAAACUACCUCUUUGGCAUCCAAGGUAAUGCAGGAAAACUUUGACCCAAAGUAUUCCCAUAUAUUAUUUGCAUUAAGCAUGUCACUUAUGAAAUGAGAAGUGAUCUCAAGGAUUUUAGUGCUGAAUCCUCAACUAAAAU